UGUAGUCAUAUGCUUGUCUCAAAGAUUAAGCCAUGCAUGUCUAAGUAUAAGCACUUUAUACCGUGAAACUGCGAAUGGCUCAUUAAAUCAGUUAUCGUUUAUUUGAUAGUACCUUACUACAUGGAUACCUGUGGUAAUUCUAGAGCUAAUACAUGCUAAAAACCCCGACUCCGGGAGGGGUGUAUUUAUUAGAUAAAAAACCAAUGCCCCUCGGGGCUCCUUGGUGAAUCAUAAUAACUUAACGAAUCGCAUGGCCUUGCGCCGGCGAUGGUUCAUUCAAAUUUCUGCCCUAUCAACUUUCGAUGGUAGGAUAGUGGCCUACCAUGGUGGCAACGGGUAACGGGGAAUUAGGGUUCGAUUCCGGAGAGGGAGCCUGAGAAACGGCUACCACAUCCAAGGAAGGCAGCAGGCGCGCAAAUUACCCAAUCCCGACACGGGGAGGUAGUGACAAUAAAUACUGAUACGGGGCUCUUUUGGGUCUCGUAAUUGGAAUGAGAACAAUCUAAAUCCCUUAACGAGGAACAAUUGGAGGGCAAGUCUGGUGCCAGCA
rnacentral:rRNA from 1 species